CCUACGGGAGGCAGCAGUGAGGAAUAUUGGUCAAUGGCCGAGAGGCUGAACCAGCCAAGUCGCGUGAGGGAAGAAUGUCCUAUGGAUUGUAAACCUCUUUUGUCAGGGAGCAAAGUCACCCACGUGUGGGUGUUGGAGAGUACCUGAAGAAAAAGCAUCGGCUAACUCCGUGCCAGCAGCCGCGGUAAUACGGAGGAUGCGAGCGUUAUCCGGAUUUAUUGGGUUUAAAGGGUGCGUAGGCGGGUUAUCAAGUCAGCGGUAAAAUCGUGGAGCUCAACUCCAUCCAGCCGUUGAAACUGAUGAUCUUGAGUGGGCGAGAAGUAUGCGGAAUGCGUGGUGUAGCGGUGAAAUGCUUAGAGAUCAUACAGAACACCGAUUGCGAAGGCAGCUUACCAAGCUACUUCUGACGUUGAGGCACGAAAGCGUGGGGAGCAAACAGGAUUAGAUACCCCAGUAGUC
rnacentral:rRNA from 1 species